rnacentral:rRNA from 1 species
AUGGACCAAUCCAUCCCUUUUUCCCGUGCAUAUGCAUCGGACUCGGAUGAUGAUGGUCCCGAUGAAGAAGUUGAUGAGGAGGGGUUCACGCCGAAGGAGGCCCAAGCAUUCAAGAAGGUAUUCGGGCGGGAUCACAAGACACCAUUGUUCAAGGAUCUUAGUCUCGCGGAUGAAGCCGUUGUAGAUGGUGGAAAAUGCAUAUCUCUUGGAGCUAGGCCAAGUUCUCACCGUGAUUUGGAAGACGGCAAGAACAGGAUAUAUCCCGGUUGUGAGUUUCAAUCCUUCUUGGAAUUGAAGAUGUGGCUUGACAACUACUCGGUUACACAUUAUCGUCCACAUAAAGUGGCCAACUCGGACGUGAAUGUACGUUACACACAAAUGUGA